GUAACAGUGAGUCAUCAGGGAAUCAUAUAUCUCGGUGAUGGGCCAUUCGGGUGGGAGGCAGUCGUCACCCCUGCGUGUCUUGCAGAUACAGAAGUGAAGUGGAAAUCUGAACAAGACAUGAUUUGAACUACGUUAGGCAUCUCAGAAAAGUACAAGACUGAGAAACACCAACAUUUUGAUCGCUGCAGACAAGACUGGUCUGGAGAAGUAGAGGAGAAUGUUGGAAGAGGAGUGCAUAUUAGUGUAAACCUACUGAAGUCAAGAUGAAGUCAAUGAAGUGGAGGAUCCAUCUGGCCCUAUAUCACACUAAAGAGACAAUACAAAUGUAAUUCAACAAG